UACAGAGGGUGCAAGCGUUGCUCGGAUUUACUGGGCGUAAAGCGUGCGCAGACGGCCACGCAGGUCGGGUGUGAAAGCCCCGGGCUCAACCCGGGAACUGCACUCGAAACCAUGUGGCUUGAGUGUGAGAGAGGAAAGCGGAAUUCCCGGUGUAGAGGUGAAAUUCGUAGAUAUCGGGAGGAACACCAGCGGCGAAGGCGGCUUUCUGGCUCAUUACUGACGUUCAGGCACGAAAGCGUGGGUAGCAAACAGG
rnacentral:rRNA from 1 species